rnacentral:rRNA from 1 species
AAAGACCUGUCUCAGUUCGGAUUGGAGUCUGCAACCCGACUCCAUGAAGCUGGAUUCGCUAGUAAUCGCGCAUCAGCCACGGCGCGGUGAAUACGUUCCCGGGCCUUGUACACACCGCCCGUCAAGCCAUGGAAGCCGGGGGUGCCUGAAGUGCGCUGCCGCAAGGAGCGCCCUAGGGUAAAACCGGUGACUGGGGCUAAGUCGUAACAAGGUACC